AAUCAACGCUGGCGGCGUGCCUCAGACAUGCAAGUCGAACGAUUAAAGCUCCCUUCGGGGAGUGCAUAAAGUGGCGCACGGGUGAGUAACACGUAAGUAAUCUACCCUCGGGUGGGAGUAACAUCGGAACCGAUGCUAAUACCGCAUAAUGCAGCGGCACCGCAAGGUGACAGUUGUUAAAGUAUUUAUUGUCCUGGGGAGGAGGCUUGCGGCAGAUUAGCUUGGGUUAAGGUAACGGCUUACCAAGCUACGAUCUGUAUCCGGUCUAAGAGGACGGUCGGACACACUGACACUGAAUAACGGGUCAGACUCCUACGGGAGGCAGCAGUCGGGAAUUUUUGGGCAA
rnacentral:rRNA from 1 species